rnacentral:siRNA from 1 species
UGUGCGAGAAGUCCUUGUGGUGAG